rnacentral:snRNA from 1 species
AUCGCUUCUCGGCCUUUUGGCUAAGAUCAAGUGUAGAAUUCCCUGUGCUAUACAGUAGGUCCUUGUUGGUUAUCCAUUUUAAAUAUAGCAGUGUGUACAUGUCCAGUAUUUCUUAUGGCACAUUUCUGGAAGGUGUAAGGGUGCAGUGGUUCCAUGUGCUUUUAUUGGAAAUGGAGUGAAAGCUUUUCUUCUGCCCCAUCCAUUCCCUC